UUAUUAAUUUAAAAUUAAACAAAUAUGAUAGAGAAUAGACUAAUUUUUAUCAAAUAUUUAUUAUUCAAAAUCAUUAAUUUUCAUAUAUAUGCUUUAGCUACAUUAGGCAAUUCCGUAAUUUUUAUUUAAGGAAAAAAUAAAAAACAUUAAUAAUAAAUUUAUGGUUAGUUUAAUAAAAAGCUUAUUAUAUAUUUAAAUGGAUCAACCUAAUUCUCUAAAAAUUCUAAGACUCAUUAUGGUGAUGACACAUGGCUACCUCAGAUGUUGUAAUGUUUCUCUUUAUAAGAGAUAUAUAUCAGUAAUGAUAUGAUUUUUCAUGCCUCCAUGAAUUUUGUUAUAACUACGUAGAUUUAUUUUGAGAAAACGGUCAUUUAAAUACUGAACUUACUCAUUUUUACCAAAUAAAAUAUAAAUUUUUAGUUAGCUCAAAUAAAUACAAAGUUAUGUUGACUGAGCCAUUUUAGUAUUACUUUUGGUCAACAUAUAUUGUCUAUGUAUAUGACGAUUAAUGUUAAAGGUUAUUGAAACUUUGUCAUUUUAAAAUCAGAACAGAGAAUAAAAUACCCAAAUCGAAAUACCUUACAUGCCUAAUCCCAAAUCGAUGUCUCUCUUUUAUCUCAGUUUCUUGAUAUCAAAUCUAAAACAUCCUUCAAUCAAUCCUCCAAAAAUGAGACAGAAAAUUUGAAUAUUCAUCUCCCCAACCCCAAGUCGAGAGAACCUGCUCAUUAUCUUUCUCAUGUCGUUGUAUUGGGACAAUUCGAACUGAGAAGCCGUUUCAAGGACACAAGCUCUUCAAGUCAUUAUCUCAGUAGACUACUGUGAUUGUUCUUCAUUUGGUUCGCCUUUUUCCCUUUUCACAGGUUUUGUUCUCUGAGGUGAGCCUAUAUGAGGUCGAUUUGGGACGGUGCUAGGCAUUGCUUUUGUAAAGAAAGCGACUUGUUGGCCCUUGUGGAGUGAGAUCUUGUUGUUUCUUUAAGACUUUUUUGUUCUUUCCUGUAAUUUUCAGACAUCAUAUUUGUUCUGUGACCGUUUCAUUUGAGAUAUGUUGAACACAAUCAUAAGCAUUCUAAAACAGAUCUGAAUUUA